rnacentral:tRNA from 1 species
GAAGUAUAUAAAAAUCGAACUUCUAAUUCAAUUUAAUAGUGGUGUAACUCCAUUAAUACUUCU